CCAGUCUCAGGUAUUCAUUUUAAAUUUUUUUUUCCUUUUCAAAUUCCUUUGUGAGGAAGAGCAGCACGAGAGUAAGUCCUCCUGAGACCAAACACUCUGCCAGGAGUUUUCUCUAUGAUGCUGUGUGUGGGCCUGUGGCAAACCUAGCCACUUAAAGACCCACAGACCACUUCAGCUUGCACUUAAAUGUCACUUCUGACUGCCAUCCUGGAAUGUAUGUGUGGAUAGAUGGAAGUGAAAUAUCUGUAUAUUUCUCUUUUUUUGUUUUUUAAAUGCAAUUUUUUUGUGAAAUUGCAUAGCGUAGAUCGCCCUCUGCUGGUAGGAGACUGA